AUGACACUGAUCUGUUCAAAGGGAUAUUUAACACAUAUUUCAGCCUAUUUAAUGUGUAUUUCACACGUGAAAUAUGCACUGAUUUUUAUUUUAUUUUUUUUUUUUUGGCCCUUUUGGCCUUCCAUAGUUGGCUAUAUUUUUGGCAGAAGUGCAGACAAGUUGGAGAAUCAAACUCAAUACAAAAUAUACCUUUCUAUAGGAGUCUUCAUCAGUGUACACUCUGCAAAAACAUGGCUGAUAGCAAAGAGAUUGUAUCCAGCAGUGUUUCCUCAUGGACUCCAGAGUUCAUCCGGGAGCUUCUUCCAGCUGCGGAGCGAACGGCUCUUCGCUAUCAUCUCUCUUACCUGUGUCUGGGUGGUUUCCCAAAGCUGGAGCGCCUGAUCAGAGAAAGAGCUCUUGAAACACAGCUUCUGUUUAAAUCCUCUGUGGUGGUUCUGCUGGAGUGUGUUAUCACGAGUUCCACCCUGGUUUUCUCCCUGCUUCCGUCGCUGUUGAUGGCUGUUGAACACAAUGAACCCUCUCUGGCUGUGAAGUACCUGGAUGAAAUCAGAGCAAAGAUUAAUGACAUCAUUAUAGCUGUGGAAGACAUUGUGAAGAGGUAUGAUGAACAUAACCAAAGUGUAGCGUCAUGCACCAGUGAUGUGUUUCAAGAAAAGACGGAGACAGAAAAACAACUAACUCAAACAACGGAGGAAAUUAAGAGUCUGGAGGAGGCCGUGGCCAACCUUGAGGAGGAGCUGA
ensembl:lncRNA